UGCAUCAUGAAACUUUUUCUCUGGUUAAC
rnacentral:piRNA from 1 species